rnacentral:rRNA from 1 species
AGCAGCCGCGGUAAUUCCAGCUCCAAUAGCGUAUAUUAAAGUUGUUGCAGUUAGAAAGCUCGUAGUUGAAUUUCGGGGUUAGUAGGUUGGUCGUGCCUAUGGUAUGCACUGGCUUUACUGAUUCCUCCUUCUUGAAGAACUGUAAUGUCAUUAAUUUGGUGUUGCAGGGAAACAGGACUGUUACUUCGAAAAAUUAGAGUGUUUAAAGCAGGCUAACGCUUGAAUACAUUAGCAUGGAAUAAUAAAAUAGGACGUUUGAUCCUAUUUUGUUGGUUUCUAGGAUUGACGUAAUGAUUAAUAGGGAUAGUUGGGGGCAUUAGUAUUCAAUUGUCAGAGGUGAAAUUCUUGGAUUUAUUGAAGACUAACUACUGCGAAAGCAUUUGCCAGGAUGUUUUCAUUAAUCAAGAACGAAAGUUAGGGGAUCGAAGCGAUCAGAUACCGUCGUAGUCUUAACCAUAAACUAUGACCGACUAAGGGAUCGGAUGAUGUUUAAUUUUUAAUGUACUCAUUCGGCGCCCGU